GGUGCUGCCUAUCGGGGAGUUUGGUUUGAACCCAUAUUUUAAGGAAGUGAGGUUCUUUCAGUGCUA
rnacentral:tRNA from 1 species